CCCUUAGAUGUCCUGGGCCGCACGCGCGCUACACUGACGGAGCCAGCGAGCUUACCCCUUUGCCGAAAGGCAUGGGAAAUCUUUUGAAUCUCCGUCGUGCUGGGGAUAGAUCAUUGCAAUUAUUGAUCUUGAACGAGGAAUUCCUAGUAAGCGCAAGUCAUCAACUUGCGUUGAUUACGUCCCUGCCCUUUGUACACACCGCCCGUCGCUACUGCCGAUUGAAUGGUUUAGUGAGAUCUCCGGAUUGGCUCUGUAGGUCCCGCAAGGGAUUUAUUAGUAGCCAAGAAGCUGCUCAAACUUGAUCAUUUAGAGGAAGUAAAAGUCGUAACA
rnacentral:rRNA from 1 species